ACUCCUGCGGGAGGCAGCAGUGGGGAAUAUUGGACAAUGGGCGCAAGCCUGAUCCAGCCAUGCCGCGUGAGUGAUGAAGGCCCUAGGGUUGUAAAGCUCUUUCACCGGUGAAGAUAAUGACGGUAACCGGAGAAGAAGCCCCGGCUAACUUCGUGCCAGCAGCCGCGGUAAUACGAAGGGGGCUAGCGUUGUUCGGAUUUACUGGGCGUAAAGCGCACGUAGGCGGACUAUUAAGUCAGGGGUGAAAUCCCGGGGCUCAACCCCGGAACUGCCUUUGAUACUGGUAGUCUUGAGUUCGAGAGAGGUGAGUGGAAUUCCGAGUGUAGAGGUGAAAUUCGUAGAUAUUCGGAGGAACACCAGUGGCGAAGGCGGCUCACUGGCUCGAUACUGACGCUGAGGUGCGAAAGCGUGGGGAGCAAACAGGAUUAGAAACCCCUGUAGUCCCA
rnacentral:rRNA from 1 species